rnacentral:lncRNA from 1 species
GAGGGAGGGGCCAAGAGAGAAACUAAUAAAGAGUAGGAUCUUGAUACCUCAUGAUAAGGAAAUGAUAAGGAAGUGAGGAGCCGGGGAGGGAAGCCCACGAGCUGAGGAAAUUCAGAGUAGGGGCGGGUUGGGAGGAGCUGAGAAGGGCCAGGAUACCAGCAUGGGUUCUGUAACAGAGGCACAGCGGAGAACUUCUCCUGGAAUCCCGGCUGCUCCUGUAGCUCCCACUGACUCAUGCCGAUUCAGCAGCGGAGGACUGGUGGUUUCUGCUAGAUCCUGCCCUUGCCGCUGAUUCAUGUUUGCUAUCCUGAUGCUACUGAACUGGACUGCUGAUAUCCUGACAAACAGAGAUGGAGUCACCCUAAGGAACUACUUCUAAACAGCUCCACAACCCCUUGUCCUAUCUUUUCUCCCCUGCCUUUGGAUGGUGGGCUAGAAUUGAGGUCAAAGCAUGCUUAUUAAAAGUAGGUUUAAAAAAAUCAAAGCCUACAUGCUGUAAGUGUCCAUUUUGGCAUUUUGGUUCCUUUAAAAAAAACCCACAGAAAUAUUGUAAGAAUGUGUUUUUGGGGGGCUGGAGAGAUGGCUCAGUGGUUAAGAGCACUGACUGCUCUUCCAGAAGUCCUGAGUUCAAAUCCCAGCAACCAUAAGGUGGCUCACAACCAUCUGUAAUAAGAUCUGAUGCCCUCUUCUGGUGUGUCUG